AGUGGUUAGAGUGUAGGGGCGGCAGGUAGCCUAGUGGUUAGAGUGGAGAGGCGGCAGGGUAGCCUAGUGGUUAGAGUGGAGGGGCGGCAGGUAGCCUAGUGGUUAGAGUGUAGAGGUGACAGGGUAGCCUAGUGGUUAGAGUGUAGAGGCGGCAGGUAGCCUAGUGGUUAGAGUGGAGGGGCGGCAGGGUAGCCUAGUGGUUAGAGUGUAGAGGAGGCAGGUAGCCUAGUGGUUAGAGUGGAGGGGCGGCAGGGUAGCCUAGUGGUUAGAGUGGAGGGGCGGCAGGGUAGCCUAGUGGUUAGAGUGGAAGGGCGGCAGGGUAGCCUAGUGGUUAGAGUGGAGGGGCGGCAGGGUAGCCUAGUGGUUAGAGUGGAGGGGCGGCAGGGUAGCCUAGUGGUUAGAGUGGAGGGGCGGCAGGGUAGCCUAGUGGUUAGAGUGGAGGGGCGGCAGGGUAGCCUAGUGGUUAGAGCG